rnacentral:rRNA from 1 species
GAUGAACGCUGGCGGCGUGCCUAAUACAUGCAAGUCGAGCGAACGGACGAGAAGCUUGCUUUUCUGAUGUUAGCGGCGGACGGGUGAGUAACACGUGGAUAACCUACCUAUAAGACUGGGAUAACUUCGGGAAACCGGAGCUAAUACCGGAUAAUAUUUUGAACCGCAUGGUUCAAAAGUGAAAGACGGUCUUGCUGUCACUUAUAGAUGGAUUCGCGCUGCAUUAGCUAGUUGGUAAGGUAGCGGCUUACCAAGGCAACGAUGCAUAGCCGACCCGAGAGGGUGAUCGGCCACACUGGAACUGAGACACGGUCCAGACUCCUACGGGAGGCAGCAGUAGGGAAUCUUCCGCAAUGGGCGAAAGCCUGACGGAGCAACGCCGCGUGAGUGAUGAAGGUCUUCGGAUCGUAAAACUCUGUUAUUAGGGAAGAACAUAUGUGUAAGUAACUGUGCACAUCUUGACGGUACCUAAUCAGAAAGCCACGGCUAACUACGUG